rnacentral:rRNA from 1 species
CACGCCGCGUGAGUGAUGAAGGUUUUCGGAUCGUAAAGCUCUGUUGUUAGGGAAGAACAAGUACCGUUCGAAUAGGGCGGUACCUUGACGGUACCUAACCAGAAAGCCACGGCUAACUACGUGCCAGCAGCCGCGGUAAUACGUAGGUGGCAAGCGUUGUCCGGAAUUAUUGGGCGUAAAGGGCUCGCAGGCGGUUUCUUAAGUCUGAUGUGAAAGCCCCCGGCUCAACCGGGGAGGGUCAUUGGAAACUGGGGAACUUGAGUGCAGAAGAGGAGAGUGGAAUUCCACGUGUAGCGGUGAAAUGCGUAGAGAUGUGGAGGAACACCAGUGGCGAAGGCGACUCUCUGGUCUGUAACUGACGCUGAGGAGCGAAAGCGUGGGGAGCGAACAGGAUUAGAUACCCUGGUAGUCCACGCCGUAAACGAUGAGUGCUAAGUGUUAGGGGGUUUCCGCCCCUUAGUGCUCCAGCUAACGCAUUAAGCACUCCC